GUGGGGGAUAUUGCACAAUGGGGGAAACCCUGAUGCAGCGACGCCGCGUGAGGGAAGACGGUCCUCUGGAUUGUAAACCUCUGUCGGAAGGGACGAUCGUGACGGUACCUUCCGAGGAAGCUCCGGCUAACUACGUGCCAGCAGCCGCGGUAAUACGUAGGGAGCGAGCGUUGUCCGGAAUUACUGGGUGUAAAGGGAGCGUAGGCGGGAUCGCAAGUUGGAUGUCUAAUCUAUCGGCUCAACCGGUAUUCGCAUUCAAAACUGUGAUUCUUGAGUGAAGUAGAGGCAGGCGGAAUUCCUAGUGUAGCGGUGAAAUGCGUAGAUAUUAGGAGGAACACCAGUGGCGAAGGCGGCCUGCUGGGCUUUUACUGACGCUGAGGCUCGAAAGUGUGGGGAGCAAACAGGA
rnacentral:rRNA from 1 species